UUUGGCUGCACUUUAUGGUUGAUGCAGUCAGCGACACACCUCCACAACAGCAGCUACAUGUCUUAUGUGCUCAAACCGCCCAACACCGCCCAACACAUGUUCUUCAUCAAAACAUGGCAGUAUGUAGUCUUAUAAAAGACUAUGGUUAUUGAGGUGCAGAUAUAGACCUGAUUGCAUAGGGAGUCAAUGCCGCCGAGUUCACCACAUUGCUUGACACCGUCUACAAGUACAAGUAUCUCAAGUAUGAACCGAAGCUUCACAUAAUCAUACCGGCGACGACGCUAGGAGCGGGGGUGCAAAAGGGAGGAUGGCGGCGGCUCGGGGAGGACGAUGUCGGCGGCGGAGGAGGAGGGAGGCGGCGCUCCGGUGUCGACGGGGUUGCGUCGGCAUCAGCGAGGCGAGGGUGUCGGCGAGCGGAGGGACGACGGCGAGGACCCAGGCGCACAUGCACGU